rnacentral:sRNA from 1 species
UUCCCGAUGCAAUUGUGUUCGACUCUUAUCAGCUGUAUGGAACACCCAGCUAUUGGGUGCAAAAGCUUUUUGUUGAGUCUAGUGGAGCAACAUUUCUUCCCUCAACACUCAACACAAAUUCAUCUAAUCAACUAAUUGCAUCUGCAAUUACUUGGAAAAAUUCUACAAAUAACAAAAAUUACAUAAGAAUAAAGGUAGUUAACUUCGGAACAGCCA